AAUUCUAAUCCAUUAAAAUUUACAUGCUGUAACGACCCCAAAAUGGACCGUCACCGGCACUAGGAUUCAGGUCGGCUUAAGGCCGCCAGAACCCGUAGCAAGCCUGCUAUACUCUCUGGGUACCUGUAAAUCUCAUACAUGAUCAUACAUUUCCUGUGAAAAUAAAAACUUUUCUCUGGACCAAGGCUUAACCUGUGCUUGCACUAUCUCUGUACGCUGUACCCCUGACUAGAGCUUGCUCUAGAUGGGUUAACUCAUACCUGUUAAGCCUGGUUUCUCACAUCUUCAUAAAACUGUUAUACAAACAGACCAUGUACACAAAAGAUUUACAAUACCACUGAAUCAAGCAUAUUUCUAUCUCUAUACAACUAUUACAUCUCUUUAUCUAAUUAUAUGUCCACACUAUACUACUACAAAGCUCUUGACUCUUUCUGUACUCUGCUGAUCUUCCCCUGUACAACCUGUACACUGAACCUGCAAGACUGGGGUUAAGGAAGUGGGAUGAGCUCUAUAGCCUAGUGAGUAGAACAGUAAAACAAACAUGAUCUUAUGGAAUGCAUCAUAUCACAGACAAAUCACAUCAAGGGUAAACCUGUCACCAAAUAGUCCAGUAUCUCAUACCAGGGCGUAGUCAAAGGCACCUGGUUUUCCUGUCUCAUAUAUAUAUAUGUGUGUAUAUAACACCUGUACUUACCAUUGUGCCAGGGCGUAGUCAAAGGCUCCUGGACUUCUCUAUACCUGCCAGGGCGUAGUCAAAGGCUCCUGGACUUAUCUCAGUGACUAUUGGAUCAUUCAGCAUUCACCCACAUCAACAAAUAACUAUGCAAUGCAACAUAUUUGUGGAUACUAAUGCAAUCAACCUACUGCAUAAUCAUGGUGCAUGAAAUAUGCUAAAAACAUUCCAUUUCUCAUUUAAAAGAAUUAGGUUUAGUUCCACUCACCUCUGGCUAUCUGGACUGACUCUGCAAACUCUGACGCAGUACUCACUGCUGCUCCCUUUGGUUCCUCUGGUCUGUGCCUACACAGAUGGACUCAAAUGAGGGACCAAACUAGCUCAAGAACGACCCUAUAAAACUCCCCACGGAAUCCCCUUAAACUCCCUAAAACAAUCAUGCAAAGCAAGCAAAGGACGGCUGGACAGGGCACUUUCGGCGGCAGGUUCGGCGGCCGAAAGUCCUCUCCAGAGUCGAAACUCAUGCACCUUCGGCGGCCGAAUCUCUACUUUCGGCAGCCGAACCCUUUCGGGGGCAAGUUUCGGGGGCUGAAAGGCACUCCAGAGACGAAAGUCUCUAACCUUCGACGGCCGAAACUCCCCUCCAGAGCCGAAAGUCCAAAGGCUCGGGGGUAAGCUUAGGCAACCGAAGCCACCUCCUCAGCACAUUCGGCGGCCGAACCAUUCUUCGGCGGCCGAGGCUGGGUUCAUCAGUACGGCAAAACCUUGCUCUGCCUCACGCCAAAAUGCACCAAACUCUCCCAAACUCAAACACCUCAAUUCCUCAACAUGCAUACACCUAAGCAUAUGCUCAAAGGGGUCAAAAACUACCUUAAAACCCCAACACCCCAACAAAACAAAACACAUAACACAUGAACAAGCUUAACUCACAAAAACAUCAAAAACUCACUCUUUACCCUAUUCAUGCAACUCUCCCCCAAAACCUCAUAAAACCUUCAUGAAUCAUAAAAAUAAGUUCAGGAUCUUCACUUACCUCUUGAAAUCAAGAAGAUGAACGAUCCUAACGUGGAGAUAUGGAGCAACUCUCCUUCAAACUCUCCAAACUUCAAAACUUAAUGUUUUUAGCUCAAAACCUUCAAAAUAACAUAAAAAUCAAUCAAACCUUUGCAAGAUUGGAUGAAAACAUGAAGAAUACUCAAGAAGGACAGGGUCUCACCUCAGAAAGUGAAAGAAACAGGCGAUCCUUAUCAUUUCAACCGACUGAGGGCCUUUUAUAGGUGGCUAGCCAGACCACCUUCGGCGGCCAUACGUGAAACUGAAAGCCAUGCAUGUUCGGCGGCCGAAUGUCACCUUCGGCGGCAGAACCUGGCUUUUCUGCCUUGGUUCUUUUCUCUCAAAAACUCAUUUCAUUUUAGCUUUACAACAUUAAAACAUACUACAUUCCUUUAAAAAAAAUAUAAAUCUUACCCGUCUAGAGAAUUCUGACAUCCUGGAUUCCACCGGACGACAGGAAUUCCGAUGUCAGAUUCUAGCCGGGUAUUACAUUCUCCCCCCCUUAAGAACAUUUGUCCUCGAAUGUUCCUAAAACAAACAAAUAAAUCGAUAUAAGUGAGAUCCCCAAGAAUCUCCACAUCAGGCUCACCAAGAACCUGACCCGGAUCCCACACAAAUUUCCGUAGCAUAGAAACAUGAAAUACCGGGUGAAUUCUCUCCAUCGAAGUAGGUAAAUCUAGCUUAUACGACACAUUUCCGAUCCUCUGCAAAAUCUCAAAGGGUCCAAUGUACCGUGGAGCUAGCUUACCCUUUUUCCCAAAACGAACCACUCCUUUCAUUGGAGACACCUUCAGCAAUACCCAAUCACCCUCCUGAAACUCUAUCUGUUUCCUGCGAAUGUCUGCAUAACUUUUCUGUCGACUCUGAGCUGUUCUAAUUCUCUCUCUGAUCAUGGGCACUGUUCUACUGGUAAUUUCUACUAAUUCUGGCCCUGCAAGAGCCUUCUCUCCUACCUCUUCCAAGCAAACAGGUGAUCUGCACUUCCUCCCAUAUAAAGCUGCAUAAGGAGCCAUCCCUAUACUAGCAUAAUGGCUGUUAUUGUAGGCAAACUCCACCAGAGGUAGAUGCUGCCUCCAAGAACCGCCAAAGUCUAACACACACAAUCGGAGCAUAUCCUCUAUGGUCUGGAUGGUCCUCUCAGACUGUCCAUCAGUCUGUGGAUGGAAAGCAGUGCUAAAAUCUAACCUCGUACCCAUCGCACUCUGCAGACUCCGCCAAAAUUUGGAGGUGAACUGAGGUCCUCUGUCUGAAACUAUAGACACUGGAAUUCCAUGUAGUCUUACUAUCUCAUCCAGAUAUACCUGUGCUAACUUAUCCACAGAAUAGUUACUCCUAACUGGAAUGAAAUGAGCAGAUUUCGUGAGUCUGUCCACAAUCACCCAUAUAGAGUCUAUUCUGUUGGACGCUGCCGGUAAGCCCACUACAAAAUCCAUAGCUAUGUUCUCCCAUUUCCACUCUGGAAUCGGCAGUGGGUUAAGCAUUCCAGCAGGCUUCUGAUGUUCUAGUUUCACCCUCUAGCAAACCUCACAGGCUGUCACAAAUUGCGCUACUUCUUUCUUCAUGGCUGGCCACCAAUAUACCCUUUUCAGGCCCUGAUACAUCUUGGUGGCUCCUGGGUGAACACUAUAUCUCGCAUUAUGAGCUUUCCUCAUAAUGUCUUCCUUCAGACUGCUACUAUCUGGUACACAAAGUCGACUCCCAUAGCGGAGGAUCCCUUUGCUGUCAAAUCUGAACUCUACACUGUUGCCUGACUGAACAGUCCUGGCAAGUUUCAUUAACUCUGGGUCCUCAUGCUGUUUCUGAGCUAUCUGCUCCAGAAACACUGGUGUCACUCUCAUCUGUGCUAUCAACGCACCUGUACCAGGCAAUUCUAGCUGUAACCCUUCCUCUAUGAGCUUGUAAAGCUCCAUCACUACCGGUCUCCGCUCUACUGCUAUAUGGGAUAAACUGCCUAGUGACUUCCGACUUAGAGCAUCUGCCACAACAUUCGCCUUACCCGGAUGAUACUGGAUCUUACAAUCAUAAUCACUGAGCAAUUCUACCCAUCUUCGCUGCCUCAAAUUCAGCUUUCUCUGGCUCAAGAUGUACUGUAGACUCUUGUGAUCAGUGAAGAUCUCGCAUUUAACCCCAUAAAGGUAAUGCCUCCACAUCUUGAGUGCAAAGAUAACUGCUGCCAUCUCUAGGUCAUGGGUGGGGUAAUUCACCUCGUGCCUCUUCAACUGUCUAGAAGCAUACGCAAUCACCCUAUCAUUCUGCAUCAAAACACAACCCAAUCCCACUCGAGACGCAUCAUAGAACACUGUGAAAUUCUCAUUACUAACGGGCAGAGUUAACACCGGUGCCGAUGUCAAUCUCCUCUUGAGCUCUUCAAAGCUCUCUUCGCACUGAUCUGACCAGAUAAACUUCUGGUUCUUCUGAGUCAGUUUGGUCAUAGGGGCCGCUAUCUUUGAGAAGUCCUGAACGAACCUCCUGUAGUAACCUGCCAGUCCCAAAAAACUUUUAAUCUCUGUCACUGUAGUGGGUCUGGGCCAGUUAGCUACAGCCUCUAUCUUCUUGGGGCCUACCUCAAUCCCUUCUGCUGAUACUACAUGUCCUAAGAAGGAAAUGCUCCUUAACCAAAACUCACACUUAGAGAACUUGGCAUACAAACCAUGUUCUCUCAAUGUCUGUAAAACUAUCCUCAGAUGUUGGGCAUGCUCCUCUGCAUCUCUGGAAUACACUAAAAUAUCAUCAAUGAAAACAAUGACAAAGUGAUCCAGAAACUCACUGAAAACUCUGUUCAUGAGAUCCAUAAAUGCUGCAGGGGUGUUAGUCAACCCGAACGGCAUUACUAAGAACUCAUAAUGCCCAUAUCUGGUCCUGAAAGCUGUCUUUGGCACAUCUGCCUCUCUGACUCUCAACUGAUAAUACCCGGAUCUCAGAUCUAUUUUAGAGAAACAACCUACUCCAGCUAGCUGGUCAAAUAGAUCAUCAAUCCUAGGUAGAGGAUACCUAUUCUUGGUAGUGACCUUGUUCAACUGUCUGUAGUCGAUACAAAGUCUGAGGGAUCCAUCCUUCUUUUUGCCAAAAAGUACUGGAGCACCCCAAGAUGAGGUACUAGGGUGGAUGAAACCCUUAUCUACCAAUUCCUGCAACUGUUCUUUCAACUCCUUUAACUCUGCUGGCGCCAUCCUGUAGGGAGGAAUAGAGAUAGGUCUGGUAUCAGGCAGUAAUUCAAUUUCAAACUCUAUCUCCCUAUCAGGUGGUAGUCCUGGAAGUUCAUCUGGGAAAACAUCUGGAAAUUCUCGAACUACUGGUAUCGAGGCUGGUUCCCUAACCUGACUAUCUAGCUCCCUCACAUGAGCUAGAAACCUCUGACAACCCCUCCUAAGCAAACGACGAGCCUGAAGGGCUGAAAUCAAACCUCUGGGUGUACCCCUCCUGUCUCCUCUGAAGACACACUCUGACCCAUCCUGGUCUCUGAGACUAACUACCUUGUCUCUACAGUCUAAAGUAGCACCAUAUGCAGAUAGCCAAUCCAUCCCUAGAAUGACAUCAAAAUCCGUCAAAUCUAGAACCACAAGGUCAGCUGGAAGGCAUCUACCCUCGACGAACAUUGGACUGAAACGACAGACUGACACUGCCACUGAUGGAUCACAUUUGGGUCCACUGACCCAGAGAGGACACUCUAACUCAGAGAUCAUCAAACCCAACCUCUCUAUAGCUCUCGAAGCAAUAAAGGAAUGAGAAGCACCGGGGUCCAUCAAAGCGUAUACAUCAGAACACCCUAUGAUGAGAUUACCUGACACCACUGUGUUCGACGUGUUUGCUUCCUCUUGAGUCACAGUGAAAAUCCGUGCUGGGGCUACCGGAUUUCCACCUCGGGAACCUGCUGCUGAAGUAGAGACUCACCCUCUCCCUCUACCUCUGCCACUACUCUGAGAUACGGCUGGAGCUGUUGGCUGUACUACACUGCCUGAACUCAUCUGCUGGGAUGGUGCCACAAAGGUCCUUCCUGUCCACACCUAAAGCAGGCUGAAGAUCCCAACUGACAAGCUCCCCUGUGUGGUCUCCCACAUCUCCUACAAACUGGACUAGCUGUGCCAAAGCUUGAGCCACUACCCAUUCCCAGACUAGACUUGGCUUUACUCCAGAACUUAUUCUUCAUUCCUUUUACUCUAUCCCAUCUCUUGCUGCCUGAAGUUCCUGCACUGGGGGCCUUAGAACCCGAAGCCUGUGCCUUUGACUAUUUUUGAACAUUGGCACUUGCUUCCAUUUUCCUGGCUGCGUCCACUAUAGAGUGGAAACUCUCCUUCUCUGCUGGAAGAAUCAAGGAAGAAUACCUGGAAUGCAGUCUCAUAGUAUAUCUCCUUGCUUUCUUCUGAUCAGUAUCAUAGGCUUGACCCACAUACUGAAGCAAAUCCAAGAACUUAUCUGUGAAUUCAUCAACACUCAUCUCGUCUGUCUGUCUCAACUGCUCAAAUUCUAUUACUUUCAUCUCCCUGGAACUAUCAGGAAAAGCCCACCCUGCAAACUCAUUGGCGAACUCUCCCCAAGAUAUGUUGUCCAUCCUGUGUUCCACAUAGUUCUUGAACCAUUCUUGAGCUUUCUUACACUUAAGUGUAAACCCCGCCAUCUCAAUGGCUCUACUAUCAUCAGCUCCCAAUUCACUGGUGAUCAUCCUAACUGAUCUGAGGUACUCAAAUGGAUCGUCUCCCAUGUUGUAUUUGGGAGCAUCCAAUUUCAGGUACUCUGUCAUUUUCACCUUACUUCCCCCAGAUGAGCUACGUUGAGGUAUUUGAACAACAGGGACUACUGGUUCUGGUGGAGGUACUGAUUCAUUUGGUUCUGGGUAUGCUGCACUUGGAGGGAUAGGUGAAGGUGGAUACAUGGGAUAUGGUGGGUAAUAAUGAGGAUAAGGCAUAUAUGGCAUGUACGUAGGAUAUGGAACAAAACUAGAGUACUCCGACGUACCUCCCAUCGGAUACCCUGGGUCCUGAGGAAAGGAUGGAUAGCCAAAACCUGAGGUCUGAGCGCCUCCCUGAGACUCUCCCAUACCUUCUUCAGAUCUACCCAUACCCAUGCUUUCAUCCAUAGACUGGUCAAUCUCCUCCCUCACUUUUUCUGAUCUCUCUCCUCUAACUGUUCCUCUUCUGCUCUCGUCUAAAGACCUUCUAGGGUCUAUUGACGUACCUUCCCGGCUAGAUCUCUGAGACCUUGCCCUUGGCAAUGCAGGAGGACGAGCAGCUAUUCUCUCACUAUCUGGUGGGACUCCAGUCAAUCGAGCUGAUCGACGAGUUCCUCUCAUUUUAACUCUGAAAAACAACACAUAACAUAGCAUAUCAGCAUAUAAUUAACUCAUAUCAAUAAUGCACAUGCAUAUCAUGGCAUUUCAUAGCAUCAAAUAGACAGGACUCAACAUCCUAUCCUAGUGGACAUGAUUUCCUAUUGUGCUUCACCACCUCUAACCUCUAUGAGCCCGAUACUCUCUCUAUAGGUCCGAUCAUUUGAAGCUUGGGCUCUGAUACCAAUCUGUAACGACUCCAAAAUGGACCGUCACCGGCGCUAGAAUUCAGGUCGGCUUAAGGCCGCCAGAACCCAUAGCAAGCCUGCUAUACUCUCUGGGUACCUGUAAAUCUCAUACAUGAUCAUACAUUUCCUGUGAAAAUAAAAACUUUUCUCUGGACCAAGGCUUAACCUGUGCUUGCACUAUCUCUGUACGCUGUACCCCUGAC
rnacentral:lncRNA from 1 species